rfam:Pseudomonas sp. TRMO17WK12:I11 isolate Yellow genome assembly, chromosome: 1
CCGACGCGCGGGUGUAACACCCGCGCCGAGGUAAAACCCGAACGGGGCUCACAAAGCCCCUGUUCAUUACCUAUGAAGAUGAGACCAGCAGGGGCUUUCCGGGCUGGUACCCGGAAAAUCAGCAGGAUCCAGGUGGCGUGGUUCAGUCGCUGUUUUCGGACCGUUCCAGGUUUCAUGGCUCUCGCCGAUCAGUCCCCUAAUCGAGGGUGACCA